CUGGUUAUUAUGUCUGAACGUCCAUUUUGUUAUAAUAACAACUUGCAAUUCAGAUGGUUGAAGUCAGCAAAUUGAACAAACAACUUAACAAAAAAUGUGGAAGUUUCAUCGAACGUGUGGUGAAAAUAUUUCACUGGAAAACAAUUGUACCACUGCAAAGCGAUCAAAUCCAACCAACACAUAUGGUGAUAGUAUUUGUUUUACCAACACACCAUUAGUGAAUGGCAAAAUUUAUGAAAUACAAGUAGACGAGAAAGUUAUCAAAUGGAGUCCAUCACUUAUCUUAGGUGUGACGACAAAUAUACCAUCUGAUCUGACGGAAAUAUCCUGGGGAUUGGAGUUGAAAGAAAGCUGGAUAUUAUU